GACAAUGAGGAAGUGUCGUUCCCAGGACGUUUGAAAACCUGAUGCGGCCCAGUCUCACCCAGACCCGAGCUCCAGUGGCCCCCAAGUAAAUAGGUCCAUUCAUCACCUACAGAUGGCACUGUGGAGGACCAGCGACUACCUUCGCAAUCGACCAGUAGCUCGCAGUCAAUCCCUUUCCUGGAAUGGAGUAAUGUUUUAACGAGGAUACAAAAAUGAUACAGUACAGCGGAAUGGCGCCAGGAAGAAAAGGCACGGUUCAAGGAGUGAAAUAUGUGU